CAAUAGCGUAUAUUAAAGUUGUUGCAGUUAAAAAGCUCGUAGUUGGAUUUCGGGGCAGCCUGGCUGGUCCGCCGCAAGGCGAGUACUGGUCAGCCGCCCUUCCUCUCGAAAGCCCCGACUGCUCUUCAUUGCAGUGGUCGGGUAGUUCGGGACGUUUACUUUGAAAAAAUUAGAGUGUUCAAGGCAGGCCUACGCCUGAAUACAUUAGCAUGGAAUAAUGGAAGAGGACCUCGGUCCUAUUUUGUUGGUUUCCAGGGCCGAAGUAAUGAUUAAGAGGGACAGUUGGGGGCAUUCGUACUUAAUUGUCAGAGGUGAAAUUCUCGGAUUUAUGAAAGACGAACAACUGCGAAAGCAUUUGCCAAGGAUGUUUUCAUUAA
rnacentral:rRNA from 1 species